AUAUUAUACUUAUUUAUGGAUCAAAUUUUUAUCUGAAUCACAGUAGAACUAGAGAUCAAAUCCCAAAUUAUUUGAUAUAAAUCUUUGCAGAGGUCUGGAUAUGCAGACCCUCUACUUCGCAUGCACGUCAGACGCUGCAGGAAAGUAGGAUAAACUCCAAUCCAAUUGGCUUCGCAUACACAAUCAAUCGAGGGAUAAGAUGUGAUGAUGUGAUACCUCACACCAUUAGGUAGGAUGUCAAGAAGGAUCCACACCC
rnacentral:lncRNA from 1 species